UGGGGAAUAUUGCACAAUGGGCGCAAGCCUGAUGCAGCCAUGCCGCGUGUAUGAAGAAGGCCUUCGGGUUGUAAAGUACUUUCAGCGGGGAGGAAGGUGUUGAGGUUAAUAACCUCAGCAAUUGACGUUACCCGCAGAAGAAGCACCGGCUAACUCCGUGCCAGCAGCCGCGGUAAUACGGAGGGUGCAAGCGUUAAUCGGAAUUAAUGGGCGUAAAGCGCACGCAGGCGGUCUGUCAAGUCGGAUGUGAAAUCCCCGGGCUCAACCUGGGAACUGCAUUCGAAACUGGCAGGCUAGAGUCUUGUAGAGGGGGGUAGAAUUCCAGGUGUAGCGGUGAAAUGCGUAGAGAUCUGGAGGAAUACCGGUGGCGAAGGCGGCCCCCUGGACAAAGACUGACGCUCAGGUGCGAAAGCGUGGGGAGCAAACA
rnacentral:rRNA from 1 species